GAGGAAGGGAGGCUGGGAGGGGGGGAGCAGGGCGACAGUGACUCAGACGGGGCCGGAGGGCUGAGCCACGCAGAGCAGGAGGAUUCUGACACCUGACUGGCAGCCAGGGCAGGGACUCCAGGACAGGGGUGAUGUGGUCCCCUGCUCUAGAGCUACUGGACGUGUACAUAUAGCCACCACUGUACAUAUUUCUGUACAAUGUGUGUAUAGGUGUAGUGGGGUACAGUUGUGUGUGUGUACAGGUGUACUGGGCUACAGCAGUGUAUAGCUCUAGUGUUGAGGAAGGAGGGGUGUUGUCUCAGUCAUGCUCUCCUGCUUCUUGCUGAACCUGAAAAUCCAGAAAUGUCCCAGGAGGAAUCCAGCGCUGUCCCAGGAUUGUCACCAAACAACAUAGCUGUGUCCUCCAGCUGCUCUGAGGGCGUGACUCUCGAGGGCUGUGGGUCCGGUCUGUACCCAGGUUAUAAGAGCCGGGAGAUGCAGGACCAGAUAGAGACAGAUCACAGGUGAGACAGUGCAGGUGGAUCAGCCCUCUGGAAUAACAGGACAUCUCCAGCUGGACCGGACCAGACCAGAACUCGCAGGACUCCUGCUGCCCCAGGUCGCCACCAUGAGGACGAUUGUAGGAUCAGUCCUGAUUCUCCUGCUCGCCACAGCCGCCCCAGAACAGACAGGAGGAACAGAUACGUCUACGACAGCAACAGUAACAGGUUCCACUGCGGCAACAGCAACAAGUUCCACUGCAGCAACAGCAACAGGUUCCACUACAGGGUCUUCAACAGCUUCAACAGCAGCCCCUACCUCUUCAACAGCAACAGGUUCCACUGCAGGGUCUUCAACAGCUUCAACAGCAGCUCCUACCUCUUCAACACCAACAGGUUCGACUGCAGCAACAUUAGCUACAACAACAACACACUCUCUCACACUGGUGUAAUCUGUGAGAGUGCACACACUCUCACACUGGUGUAAUCUCUCUGAGAGUGCACACUCUCUCACACUGGUGUAAUCU
rnacentral:lncRNA from 1 species